rnacentral:tRNA from 1 species
GCUCAGCUAGUAAAGAGUCUGCCUGCAAUGCAGGAGACCCGGGUUCAAUUCCUGGGUUGGGCA